AGGCCCUGCAUUCUAAGAUUUCAUAUUGGUAGGGAUGAUACUGGCUUUUUAUUUGCCAGUUCUACAUAAACAGCUAUCAGAUUAUUAUAAAUUUAAGAGUCAAUCCUGGAGUGACGUGAGUAGCAGAAUGCCAAGUCUAUGAGUCACGUGAUAACUACUGGACAUGCACAUGAGAAUAUGACGAGGAUGGUGCCUUAGAAUGGGGAUUCUCAAUCUGAGGUAACAAUGGGAACAAUUACCAUAUAACUAUUCAAGUGUUUAACUAGCCAGUAUUUUAAAAAAUACCUACUACAUCCUCAGCAUAGUCACUGAAGAAAACUAGGGAUCCAAGAAAAUCAUACCAUUUAAAAAUAAUUGGUAAGUAUGCUAUUUAGCAUGAAAAAUUAGUUUGGACACAUUAAAUGUUCUAGCAAUUUAGAGGAGAGGUUUAGCGGGCAGAAUUCGAGGAGGAGCUGGAGUAAGGGGAGUAUUGCGGGGUGUAUGGUCACUAAGAAAGGAGAGGGCAUUUUAGAAAGUCACGGCCGGGCACGGUGGCUCAAGCCUGUAAUCCCAGCACUUUGGGAGGCCGAGGUGGGCAGAUCAUGAGGUCAGGAGGUCGAGACCAUCCUGGCUAACAUGGUGAAACUCUGUCUCUACUAAAAAUACAAAAAAUUAGCCGGGCGUGGUGGCAGGUGCCUGUAGUACCAGCUACUUGGGAGGCUGAGGUAGGAAAGUGGUGUGAACCUGGGAGGUGUAGCUUGCAGUGAGCUGAGAUCGCUCCACUGCACUGCAGCCUGGGCGACAGAGCGAGACUUGUCUCAAAAAAAAAAAAAAAAAGAAAAAGAAAGUCACAACCACCCCACCAGAGCAAAGCUGCAAAUGAUGCUAGUAAGGAAGGGUCAAGAAAUGUACCUAUCAGGAAAAAUGGGGUUUGUGUAAUUUGAGUGCUGGCCACUCAAAAGCGUGAUCCAGGCCGGGUGUGGUGGCUCACGCCUGUAAUCUCAGCACUUUGGGAGGUUGAGACCGGUGGAUCACGAGGUCAGGAAAUUGAGACCAUCCUAGCUAAUGCGGCGAAACCCCGUCUCUACUAAAAAUACAAAAAAAAAAAAAAAAAAAAAAAUUAGCCAGUCGUGGUGGCAGGCGCCUGUAGUCUGAGCUACUCGGGAGGCUGAGGCAGGAGAAUGGCGUGAACCCUGGAGGUGGAGCUUGCAGUGAGCUGAGAUCGCGCCACUGCACUCCAGCCUGGGCGACAGAGCGAGAACACCGUCUCAAAAGAAAAAAAAGUGUGAUCCAUAGACUUGCAGCAUAACCAUCACCUGGGAGUUUAUGAGAAAUAGUAUGGCUGGGCGCAGUGGCUGGAUGCCUGUAAUACCAGCACUUUGGGAGGCCAAGGUGGGCGGAUCACUUGGGGUCAGGAGUUUGAGACCAACCUGGCCAACAUCGUGAAACCCCAUCUCUACUAAAAAUACAAAAAUUAGCUAGGCUUGGUGGUGUACGCCUGUAAAACCAGUUACUCGGGAGGCUGAGGCAGGAGAAUCACUUGAACCCAGGAGGCAAAGGUUGCAGUGAGCCGAGAUCACACCACUGCACUCCAGCCAGGACGACAGAGCAAGAUUCCAUCCACCACCCGCCUCCCCUCUAAAAGAAAUAGUGACUCUCAGGUUCUACCAUAGUCCUACUGAAUUAAAACUUCCACAUCAACAAGAUUUCUCAGGUGAUUCUUAUGUGCCUUAAAGCUUGAGAAACAUUGGUAGGUGAUUGGUUUCCCAAAUACUGGUCACCACACCAGGACCAUUUGGCUAAAUAAGAAUGUCUGGAGAGCUUGUUAAAAAGAGGCUUCGGCACCCAUCACUAGAGAUUUUAAUUCAAUUGGUCUGAAAUCCAGGAAUAUUAACAAGAUCCCCCAGGUGAUUGUGAUGCAUCAUUGCCCUAGGCCUAGGACAAUCUAGC
rnacentral:lncRNA from 10 species